UACGGGGGGGGCAAGCGUUGUUCGUAAUUACUGGGCGUAAAGGGCUCGUAGGCGGCCAACUAAGUCAGACGUGAAAUCCCUCGGCUUAACCGGGGAACUGCGUCUGAUACUGGAUGGCUUGAGAUUGGGAGAGGGAUGCGGAAUUCCAGGUGUAGCGGUGAAAUGCGUAGAUAUCUGGAGGAACACCGGUGGCGAAGGCGACAUCCUGGACCAACACUGACGCUGAGGAGCGAAAGCCAGGGGAGCAAACGGG
rnacentral:rRNA from 1 species